GAGUCCGCUGGUAGGCAGCAUGGAGGGUAAUUUGGAUGGGACUAAACAGGAGACAGGGAGACCAGCUAGGAAUCAGCUGCUACCAUACAGUUGCCUGUGCCAGGAUACGUGGGAGGAAGUGGAAGAGGACCAGGUCUAUCGAGGACAACAUCAAGAGCUCAAUCCUGGUACAUGCUGGUUUUGAAAUCCUAGCAGGACCUCGUGGUGGACAGGAGCAACUUGCUGUUCAGAACUGGAACCAGAAUGUUUUGAAUCAAAGCUCACCUCUGACCCCUCCCAGUCCCUCAUCUCCAUGUGCUAAAGG